rfam:Tncinocarpus reesii 1704 scaffold_1 genomic scaffold, whole genome shotgun sequence.
GGUUCUAUGGUGUAGCGGUUAGCAUAGCGGAUUCUGAUUUCCUUGGAACAUUCCGCCGACCCCGGUUCGAUUCCGGGUAGGACCU